ensembl:snRNA U6 U6 spliceosomal RNA
GAGCUCAUUUGGCAGCACUGGCACUAAAACUGGAACACCACAGAGAAGAUUAACAUGGCUCCCACACGAGGAUGACACACAAAUUUUCAAAGUGUUCCAUUUUUUU